CUGCUGCCUCCCGUAGGAGUUUGGGCCGUGUCUCAGUCCCAAUGUGGCCGAUCAACCUCUCAGUUCGGCUACGCAUCAUUGCCUUGGUAAGCCUUUACCCCACCAACUAGCUAAUGCGUCGCGGGCCCAUCCAAAAGCGGUAGCAUAGCCACCUUUUACAUAGUUACCAUGCGGUAACUAUGGUUAUGCGGUAUUAGCACCUGUUUCCAAGUGUUAUCCCCCUCUUUUGGGCAGGUUGCCCACGUGUUACUCACCCGUUCGCCA
rnacentral:rRNA from 1 species